GACCUGAUCCUGCGUGGAGCUGCUGCUGUCGGGGCACUCGGGCUGGGCUUGGGCUGGGCUGCACUGCAAUGGCGCCCCGUCACAGUCCAGCUCGGUGACCGUUGUUUCUGGCAGGCUCAGGUCAGCGUCUUCAGCACAGCCGGGAGAGAUGAGGGCUUCCACUUGGAUGAGCACCUUCAUUCCAUCACUGGUGUUGUAUGGAAGGCUGUCAUCUGAGCUGCAGCGAUUCGUGCUUCCUAGCAGCUCUGCACUGAUGGAAGCACACAGUGAACCAUCGCUAUACGCUCUGGCUCUUCUGCGUGGACGAGGGCUCGAUUCACCUAGGAAGGAGUAGAUACACAGGCGUUAGUGGCAAACUUGCACAAGCUGAAUGAUGAGAGUGGUUCUUGAGAUUUGCUUAUGUAGUGGCAGAAGGACAAAGCCAAUAGGACAAUAGCAACAGUAGGAGCACUGUCUCGAAAGGAACUGUUGCGCUUUUGUUGUUUGUCUUUCUCUUUUGUUUGGACUCCAAAGCCCUCGCAGAAAGCCUUCACCCUGUUGCAGUGUUACACAGUUUAAACGUGUGCCUGCUGAUACAGAGGCAACACGGAGCCACAAAGGUACUCUUCCUUCCAUCCUAAGUGACAGAAGGAAUCAUUCUGAGACAUACUGCAGUGGUGCCCAUCUCCUGUCUCUUUCCAAAACUACUCGGGGAAAGGCACGAGAGGGGUGUGCUCCGGCAGGUCCAGAUCAUGACUUCACCAGAGACUCAUUUGGGAAAGAAAGACAGGGCUGAACCGAAGAUGUGGCAUCACACUCACUUAAAACACACACACAGAAGCAGCCAAACCCUGAGCACGCACAUCCCCUCCUGCACUACUGGAGCCCACCGCUCACCUUCACACCUCCGUGCAUUUCUGCUGUUUUACACUGACGCAGCCUCGCUACAGCUCCAUGCAUGUCACACAAGGCCUGCAGGACGGACCUCUUGCUCUGCAAACCCCAUCUGCAGGCAUUGCUUCAUGAGCUUCACCACCUGCCCUCCUGAGCAAAAACAAGCACUGAGAACGACAGCAAAGCACACUGGAUUCCACCUGGCCUGCUCCCCAAGCCUCAGCCCUGCCACACAUACCCUGCUACGCAG
ensembl:lncRNA